rnacentral:rRNA from 1 species
UACGGAGGGUGCAAGCGUUAUCCGGAUUCACUGGGUUUAAAGGGUGCGUAGGUGGGUCUGUAAGUCAGUGGUGAAAUCUUCGAGCUUAACUCGGAAACUGCCAUUGAUACUAUAGAUCUUGAAUUUUCUGGAGGUAAGCGGAAUAUGUCAUGUAGCGGUGAAAUGCUUAGAUAUGACAUAGAACACCAAUCGCGAAGGCAGCUUACUACGGGAACAUUGACACUGAGGCACGAAAGCGUGGGGAUCAAACAGG